ensembl:lncRNA
AAAAAAAUCUGUUGUCUUCCGUUAAAGCCGAAGUGCAGGACUAACGAGUUGAAACAAUAUUUGCCUGGUAAAUCUCUAUUUUGCAGUGUAACAUAGUUUUUCACCUGAUGUCUGUGGUGACAUUCCUGCACCAGUAAUAAGUUGUGCUGAAUAAGUGAGCAAUUUUAGCGACAACCACUGAGUAGAAUACAACAGCUUGAAAUAUGGUGAAAUAUUGAUGGAAAACGCUUUCAACAGCAUCCAAGAAAAGGUUAUGAAGCUCCGGAUUUAAAAGAAAGUAGCAGAUGGAUUGUUGUUUCUACAUUAUAUGUAUGUCUACAGUGUUUGUGUAGUUACUAUCACCACCAGAAGGGGGCGACAAAAGUUCCACACUGCAGGUUUAAGUCAAAUAAGCUGCAGAAACAAAGUCAGAUGAAUCCAGUGAAACCAGACUUUAUUUGAUUUUCUAUUUUUCUCGCAAACAGUCCCCUCAUAUAUAAUAACCUAAAAAUUCUUCACAUUGCGGCUUUAACUCUUGUUUUUUUUAGGAAACUACACAUGUACAUACGAACAACAGCGAUCUCUCGUCACCAUAGUGCACAAAGCCACCGGUAUCCUAGAUGUUUCCCUCCUGCCAAACAUCUACACUUCCACCCAGCCACCAUUUGUUCGCUGUGAAAGUGAAAGGACUGUUGUGAAAGUAACAGCUAAAUGUGAGAUAAGUAAAAGCAGUGAGCCUUAUGAGGUGACCUGGACAGGUGACGGCAUCUUGCAGAAACCAUUAUACAAGAUGGGUGAAAAGUUUUGUGAAGCUGAAGGUGACUGGUACGACACCAAAGCUGAUUUCACUGCAGAGUUAAAAUGCAAGCAUUCAGCUGGAGUGAGACUACGGUAUUGCAGCGAGGAUGGGGAAUGGGAAAAGGAGGACUCGAGAUGUGUGAUCACGGAACUUUACAGUGCUCUGCAGCAAGCAACAAUUGUUGACAUUGGACUUGGCUUUGAAGAUCAAAAUGUUGCAGAUGUGCUUUCCAUCUUUGAGAACACCACUAAUAACAC